UGAACGCUGGCGGCGUGCCUACUACAUGCAAGUCGAGCGAACAGACGAGGAGCUUGCUCCUCUGACGUUAGCGGCGGACGGGUGAGUAACACGUGGAUAACCUACCUAUAAGACUGGGAUAACUUCGGGAAACCGGAGCUAAUACCGGAUAAUAUAUUGAACCGCAUGGUUCAAUAGUGAAAGACGGUUUUGCUGUCACUUAUAGAUGGAUCCGCGCCGCAUUAGCUAGUUGGUAAGGUAACGGCUUACCAAGGCGACGAUGCGUAGCCGACCUGAGAGGGUGAUCGGCCACACUGGAACUGAGACACGGUCCAGACUCCUACGGGAGGCAGCAGUAGGGAAUCUUCCGCAAUGGGCGGAAGCCUGACGGAGCAACGCCGCGUGGGUGAUGAAGGUCUUCGGAUCGUAAAACUCUGUUAUUAGGGAAGAACAAAUGUGUAAGUAACUAUGCACGUCUUGACGGUACCUAAUCAGAAAGCCACGGCUAACUACGUG
rnacentral:rRNA from 1 species